UACAGAGGGUGCGAGCGUUAAUCGGAAUUACUGGACGUAAAGCGCACGUAGUCGGCUUUGCAAGUCGGGUGUGAAAGCCCCGGGCUCAACCUGGGAAUUGCAUUCGAGACUGAAUAGCUAGGGUACGGUAGAGGGAAGUGGAAUUUCCGGUGUAGCGGUGAAAUGCGUAGAUAUCGGAAGGAACAUCAGUGGCGAAAGCGACUUCCUGGACCAGUACCGACGUUCAGGCACGAAAGCGUGGGGAGCAAACAGG
rnacentral:rRNA from 1 species